CAGUGAGGAAUAUUGGUCAAUGGGCGCAAGCCUGAACCAGCCAUGCCGCGUGCAGGAAGACGGUCCUAUGGAUUGUAAACUGCUUUUAUACAGGAAGAAACACUACCUCGUGAGGUAGCUUGACGGUACUGUAAGAAUAAGGAUCGGCUAACUCCGUGCCAGCAGCCGCGGUAAUA
rnacentral:rRNA from 1 species